UCGGAUUAGUUUGUUGGUGAGGUAAAAGCUUACCAAGACCGUGAUCCGUAGCGGGUCUGAGAGGAAGGUCCCCCACACUGGCACUGAGACACGGGCCAGACUCCUACGGGAGGCAGCAGUGAGGAAUAUUGGUCAAUGGGCGUAAGCCUGAACCAGCCAAGUAGCGUGCAGGAUGACGGCCCUACGGAUUGUAAACUGCUUUUGCGGGAGGAUAACCGGCGCCACGUGUGGCGCCCUGCAGGUAUCCCGUGAAUAAGGACCGGCUAAUUCCGUGCCAGCAGCCGCGGUAAUACGGAAGGUCCGGGCGUUAUCCGGAUUUAUUGGGUUUAAAGGGAGCGCAGGCGGAGGCGCAAGCGUGCCGUUAAAUUGCGGGGCUCAACCCCGUUUUGCGGCGCGAACUGCGUCCCUUGGUUGCGGGAGGGGAAGGCGGAACUCGUGGUGUAGCGGUGAAAUGCUUAGAUAUGUCACAGAACGCCGAUCGUGAAGACAGGUCACGAAUCUGCAACUGACGCUCAUGCACGAAAGCGUGGGGAUCAAACAGGAUUAGAUACCCUGGUAGUCCACGCUGUAAACGAUGAUCACUCGUUGUUGGCCGGCGACGGUCAGUGGCUAAGCGAAAGCGAUAAGUGAUCCACCUGGGGAGUACGAUCGCAAGGUUGAAACUCAAAGGAAUUGACGGGGGCCCGCACAAGCGGAGGAACAUGUGGUUUAAUUCGAUGAUACGCGAGGAACCUUACCCGGGCUUGAAAUGUGCACGGCGACCCUGAGAGACCAGGGUCUCCUUCGGGCGUGCAUGUAGGUGCUGCAUGGUUGUCGUCAGCUCGUGCCGUGAGGUGUCGGCUCAAGUGCCAUAACGAGCGCAACCCCUUCGGCCGGUUACCAUCGGGUGAUGCCGGGGACUCCGGCCGCACUGCCGCCGCAAGGCGCGAGGAAGGCGGGGAUGACGUCAAAUCAGCACGGCCCUUACGUCCGGGGCCACACACGUGUUACAAUGGGGGGCACAGCGAGCGGGGCCAUGGCGACAUGUCCCGAAUCAUGAAAUCCCCUCCCAGUUCGGACUGGAGUCUGCAACCCGACUCCACGAAGCCGGAUUCGCUAGUAAUCGCGCAUCAGCCAUGGCGCGGUGAAUACGUUCCCGGGCCUUGCACUCACCGCCCGUCAAG
rnacentral:rRNA from 1 species